rnacentral:sRNA from 1 species
AGCAGCCGCGGUAAUUCCAGCUCCAAUAGCGUAUAUUAAAGUUGUUGCAGUUAAAAAGCUCGUAGUUGAAUUUCGGGGUUAGUAGGUUGGUCAUGCCUCUGGUAUGUACUGGUCUCACUGAUUCCUCCUUCCUGAUGAACCGUAAUGCCAUUAAUUUGGUGUUGCGGGGAAUUUGGACUGUUACUUUGAAAAAAUUAGAGUGUUUAAAGCAAGCUAACGCUUGAAUACAUUAGCAUGGAAUAAUGAAAUAGGACGUUCGAUCCUAUUUUGUUGGUUUCUAGGAUUGACGUAAUGAUUAAUAGGGAUAGUUGGGGGCAUUAGUAUUCAAUUGUCAGAGGUGAAAUUCUUGGAUUUAUUGAAGACUAACUACUGCGAAAGCAUUUGCCAAGGAUGUUUUCAUUAAUCAAGAACGAAAGUUAGGGGAUCGAAGACGAUCAGAUACCGUCGUAGUCUUAACCAUAAACUAUGCCGACUAGGGAUCGGACGAUGUUAAUUUUUAAUGGCUCAUUCG